rnacentral:rRNA from 1 species
UUCGAGUGGCGGACGGGUGAGGUAACGCGUGGGUAACCUGCCUUACACAGGGGGAUAACACCUGGAAACAGGUGCUAAUACCGCAUAAGCGCACAGGGCCGCAUGGCCCGGUGUGAAAAACUCCGGUGGUGUAAGAUGGACCCGCGUCUGAUUAGCUUGUUGGCGGGGUAGGGGCCCACCAAGGCGACGAUCAGUAGCCGGCCUGAGAGGGUGGACGGCCACAUUGGGACUGAGACACGGCCCAAACUCCUACGGAAGGCAGCAG